AAGAAGUGAAAGAAAAAAAACAAAUUUCAACAGUAAAUACCCUACAAAUAAUCAGGCCCAUUUUAGUACCUAGAAUUUGCCUAAGCCCAAUUCCUAAAAACCAAUCAAAAUUUGAAAAAUAAAACAAAAACCUUAAUACUACUUUCCCGCGACAAGAUUCUGCACAUCUCUCCUUGAAAACAUUUCGUCUCUUCAGUGCACCGAAAGAUGGUCAUCCCCUUCUGCAUGUCUCCGAUGGAAGUCUUUAAAGCAUGACUCCUCCGCUGCCUACUGUUUCACCGUAUCUGUCAGUCGCGACAGCCCUAACAAUCGCACUGGAAAUGCCCGAAAUCAGAUGAGUAUCUUCCCUUCCUUUUAGUCCUUUUGUUGUUAGGGUAUGAGCUACAGUGUUUUCUUGUCUCCCUGCAUAAUUAAACUGACAUGUAACAAAGUUUCGUCGUAUUCUUUUUGCGUCUGCGAUAUAAGCACUUAUUUCGAAUUUGUCCUCUUCUUAACUUUGUAAAUUUUUAAUAAUAGCUAGUGUAUCUCCUUCUACCUCAACUCGUAAGAACCCUGAGUCUGCCCCAAAUCUAAUCGCUUGGACGCAUGCAAGUGCCUCAGUUGCAAAUGCUGACGGGUCCACCUAAUUCCCAAUCUGGACCAUACUUCAGCAGCAAAAGGGCAAUCUUUAAAAACAUGAUCUGUUGUUUCGGGACUGUUGAUAGAUCUUGAACAGUUGGUUGUAUUUCCUAGUCUUCGCUGGUAUAGAUUAUAGAAACUCCACACUGUAUACGACCCUGAUGCCUUUCCGCUCCAAACUACUUUGUCCUCUUCUUACUCCAUAGGGAGGAGAAUGCAUAAAAUCCUUUCGGCAUCUUUGGGAUGAAAGUACCCGAAACCCACACCUCAUCCUAAAUACGAAUCUGAUUCCCAGACCCAAUCCGCCAACAUAAUCCCUUUUCAAGAAGUCCUCUCGCCGACCAUAUACUCCUCCAGGUAUAGGAUGAAAUUUGCCCAUAAAAUCUCCUAAUUGCUGAGCCACAAUCCGAAAAAUAUCCCGGUGGAAAAUCAUGUACCUGCACCUAAAAAUCAGAGUAUGCCAACGAAAUUAAGUUCGGAUCUUCCCCAACUUGUAGCCUAUGAAAUAGAAGAAGAUGGUUGUUAAAGGUCCAAGGCGUUCCACUUAUCACUCGCUCCACAUCAACCUCAUAAAAGAAUCUAAAUAGAUAACGUUUUUCUCCUAGGUCAGAAAUCUGUAUUCCCACCAAUGGAUGCCAUAAAUUGGCCAUCGUGUUUUUUAGUGCUAGAAAAUGUACCACACUUGCUGUAAGACAGCAACCCACCAAACAUAAAUCAUACAGCGAUUUCUGUGGUUUAGCCUCCGUCUCAAACUUAUUAAUAUUUUGCGUUCACAACCUAGAAGAAAGAUGUCCAAAUCUAGCGUUGACCGCGAGCAAAAUGAGAGAAGUAGGCAAUCGUGAAAAAUAAAACUUCUACGGCGGUGAGAGAACAAAAACAAGAAGAAAAUCUGUUGACAAAUCAAUAUUGCAAGAUAAAAAGGUUUAGGCGGUAGAAAAUUGCUUCAAUGAAAUGAACCAAUUGUGAAACCCUAGACUAGCUAGACAAUAGACGUGCUACUCAGAGAGCAGACUUGUAAACAUGUAAAAUAAUGUAAAGUUAUUUUGUUUCUAUCGUCUUCGAAUACUAAACACUUACUAAGUCUGCCCAUUU